UCUGACUCUCUCUCUCUCUCUCUAGUGUGAAAUCUGCUAUUUGUCUCAUUAUUCUUAUAUCUUAGUCAUUUCACAAUUUCUAGACCAUAUUAAAUUUGAUUCCGAUUGACUCAAAUUAUUUUAAUUUUUUUCAAGCUAUAUAAAGUGUUCGAAUAACUUUUUAGUCAAACAAGUACUAAUCUGCUAUUUGUCUCAUUGUUCUUAAAUCUUAGUCAUUUUCACAAUCUCUAGACCAUAUUAUAUUUGAUUCCGAUUGACUCAAAUUAUUUUUGAUUGUUCUCAAGCUAUAUAAAGUGUUCGAAUAACUUUUUAGCCAAACAAUUUGGCGCCGUCUGUGGGGAUUUUGAGAAUCAAAG
rnacentral:lncRNA from 1 species